CCUACGGGAGGCAGCAGUGAGGAAUAUUGGUCAAUGGGCGCGAGCCUGAACCAGCCAAGUCGCGUGAGGGAAGACGGUCCUAUGGAUUGUAAACCUCUUUUGUCGGGGAGCAAACGACGCCACGCGUGGCGUUCCGAGAGUACCCUAAGAAAAAGCAUAGGCUAACACCGCGCCAGCAGCCGCGGUAAGACGGGGGAUGCGAGCGUUAUCCGGAUUUAUUGGGUUUAAAGGGUGCGCAGGCGGCAGAUCAAGUCAGCGGUAAAAUUGAGAGGCUCAACCUCUUAGAGCCGUUGAAACUGGUUUGCUUGAGUGAGCGAGAGGUGUGCGGAAUGCGUGGUGUAGCGGUGAAAUGCGUAGAUAUCACGCAGAACACCGAUGGCGAAGGCAGCAUACCGGCGCUCAACUGACGCUCAUGCACGAAAGUGUGGGUAUCGAACAGGAUUAGAUACCCCAGUAGUC
rnacentral:rRNA from 1 species